rnacentral:rRNA from 1 species
UGGGGAAUUGUUCGCAAUGGGCGCAAGCCUGACGACGCAAUGCCGCGUGGAGGAUGAAGAAUUUCGGUUCGUAAACUCCUUUCGACCGAGAUGAAUGUCCGCUGACCUAACACGUCGGCGGGGUGACAGUAUCGAGGGAAGAAGCCCCGGCUAACUCCGUGCCAGCAGCCGCGGUAAUACGGGAGGGGCAAGCGUUGUUCGGAAUUACUGGGCGUAAAGGGCUCGUAGGCGGCCAACUAAGUCAGACGUGAAAUCCCUCGGCUUAACCGGGGAACUGCGUCUGAUACUGGAUGGCUUGAGGUUGGGAGAGGGAUGCGGAAUUCCAGGUGUAGCGGUGAAAUGCGUAGAUAUCUGGAGGAACACCGGUGGCGAAGGCGACAUCCUGGACCAAUUCUGACGCUGAGGAGCGAAAGCCAGGGGAGCAAACGGGAUUAGAUACCCUUGUAGUCCCUGAGCGGGCUGGCAAGGCGCAU